rnacentral:rRNA from 1 species
UAGCUAGUUGGUGAGGUAAAGGCUUACCAAGGCGACGAUCUGUAGCGGGUCUGAGAGGAUGAUCCGCCACACUGGAACUGAGACACGGUCCAGACUCCUACGGGAGGCAGCAGUGGGGAAUUUUGGACAAUGGGGGCAACCCUGAUCCAGCCAUGCCGCGUGAGUGAAGAAGGCCUUCGGGUUGUAAAGCACUUUCGGCCGGGAAGAAAUCGCAUGGGCCAAUACCCUGUGUGGAUAACGGUACCGGAAUAAGAAGCACCGGCUAACUACGUGCCAGCAGCCGCGGUAAUACGUAGGGUGCGAGCGUUAAUCGGAAUUACUGGGCGUAAAGCGUGCGCAGGCGGUUUUGUAAGACAGGCGUGAAAUCCCCGGGCUUAACCUGGGAACUGCGUUUGUGACUGCAAGGCUAGAGUACGGCAGAGGGGGGUGGAAUUCCACGUGUAGCAGUGAAAUGCGUAGAGAUGUGGAGGAACACCAAUGGCGAAGGCAGCCCCCUGGGUCGAUACUGACGCUCAUGCACGAAAGCGUGGGUAGCAAACAGGAUUAGAUACCCUGGUAGUCCACGCCCUAAACUAUGUCAACUAGGUGUUGGGUGGGUAAAACCAUUUAGUACCGUAGCUGACGCGUGAAGUUGACCGCCUGGGGAGUACGGCCGCAAGGUUAAAACUCAAAGGAAUUGACGGGGACCCGCACAAGCGGUGGAUGAUGUGGAUUAAUUCGAUGCAACGCGAAAAACCUUACCUACCCUUGACAUGCCAGGAACUUGCCAGAGAUGGCUUGGUGCCCGAAAGGGAGCCUGGACACAGGUGCUGCAUGGCUGUCGUCAGCUCGUGUCGUGAGAUGUUGGGUUAAGUCCCGCAACGAGCGCAACCCUUGUCGUUAAUUGCCAUCAUUUAGUUGGGCACUUUAACGAGACUGCCGGUGACAAACCGGAGGAAGGUGGGGAUGACGUCAAGUCCUCAUGGCCCUUAUGGGUAGGGCUUCACACGUCAUACAAUGGUCGGUACAAAGGGUUGCCAAGCCGCGAGGCGGAGCCAAUCCCAGAAAGCCGAUCGUAGUCCGGAUUGCAGGCUGCAACUCGCCUGCAUGAAGUCGGAAUCGCUAGUAAUCGUGGAUCAGCAUGUCACGGUGAAUACGUUCCCGGGUCUUGUACACACCGCCCGUCACACCAUGGGAGCGGGUUCCGCCAGAGGUAGGUAGCCUAACCGCAAGGGGGGCGCUUACCACGGCGGGGUUCGUGACUGGGGUGAAGUCGGAACAAGGUAGCCGUAGGGGAACCUGCGGCUG